AGUGAACGCUGACGGUAGGCCUAACACACGCAAGUCGAACGGCAGCACAGGAGAGCUUGCUCUCUGGGUGGCGAGUGGCGGACGGGUGAGGAAUACAUCGGAAUCUACUUUUUCGUGGGGGAUAACGUAGGGAAACUUACGCUAAUACCGCAUACGACCUACGGGUGAAAGCAGGGGAUCUUCGGACCUUGCGCGAUUGAAUGAGCCGAUGUCGGAUUAGCCAGGUGGCGGGGUAAAGGCCCACCAAGGCGACGAUCCGUAGCUGGUCUGAGAGGAUGAUCAGCCACACUGGAACUGAGACACGGUCCAGACUCCUACGGGAGGCAGCAGUGGGGAAUAUUGGACAAUGGGCGCAAGCCUGAUCCAGCCAUACCGCGUGGGUGAAGAAGGCCUUCGGGUUGUAAAGCCCUUUUGUUGGGAAAGAAAUCCAGCUGGUUAAUACCCGGUUGGGAUGACGGUACCCAAAGAAUAAGCACCGGCUAACUUCGUGCCAGCCGCCGCCGUAA
rnacentral:rRNA from 1 species